AUCGUUUGCUGAGACGCUAGUUGAUGUCGUCAUCACGCAGCAGGCACGUAAUGAUAAAAUCGUCAACAUCCGAUUCAAGAGCGGGCAUGGCUUUUUGCAAUUAUUUUCCAAGAGAUCACAGCCAUGACUCCAUUGAGAGAUGGGAUGAGACUUCGGGCCCUGACGAUAUAUCGGAAGCGUCCCAGGAGAUAACAGAGGAAUCUUCAGACUUAUCAGACGGCCCUGAUGAAUCAAACAGAUGUAGAAUACGUUGACGAAGAGUUACCUGAAACUUCACAAGCUUUGAGAGGAAAAGCAUCUUCAAAGUCACUGCUGCCAGAGAAACAGUCACCUCAUGGUGAAACAUUUUUAAUUGCACUAUUGGGCCCAAUCUAAGUGUCUAACCACAGAAACACAGGUUUGGUGGAGGAGUCUGGUGACAGCUCUGACGACGAGCCAUUGGUUAAGAUGAUCAGGAAGCCUCUAACAGACUGCCAGCUGAGCGAGAGAGUGAAGGCACUGCUGAAAUACACAGACAUGGCGGAUGUGAGAAUGAAGCAAAUCUACAAUAGACUGUUUGAGAUGUGCCCCCGGUAUGACCUGUCUAACAAGAAGGACAUCAUCAAGCAGACAGUGAAAGAGGAGAUUUCUUUACUACCCAGGGUUUUAAUCAAGCCAUAUUCAUAGAUUUGACAGAUAACAUUAUAAUCAAUGAUCUCAGGAAAACAUAGUUGAUAUCGUGACAAAGACUCCUGUAUAUGCCUUUCCAUUUAUAUUUUAUUCAUAGACGUUCAGACUGUUUAAAUACUAUACCAUUUCAUACAAAUUAUUUGUUUUACUUGCCUAAGUUUUGUAAAUAAAGUAUUUAUUGUACUGUA